GUUAUCUAAAAUUUCAUUUUGUAUUAAUCUGAAACUCUUCAUUUCCUUCUCUUUAUUUCAACAGAUUUUUGAUGCCUCUCUUUUUUCCACCAAAUUUAAGUUUUGGUGCGAGUUAUUCCCUUCCAAAAGCCCUCGUAUACUCUCUGCGACCCUAACCCCAAAUCCAAAGGCUCUCAUAUCUUCUUAGACUCUCCUCUCUCUCUCUCUCUCUCUCUCUCUCUCUCUCUCUCUCUCUCUCUCUCUCUCUCUCUCUCCACUUUGGUUUUUCUCUUUGAUUAAACGAUUAUUUAGCCAACAAGGGUUUCAGUGAGAGAUUUGGGGCCCUUCCUAUUUCAAAUGCCCACAUCUGUUCUUUGGGAUGAAAGUUUAUGAAGUUGAACUCAUUUUUGUUUUUCUGGUUUGGUUUAGGUCACUGCUACACGAGUUUAUAAUUAUCAUAUUGUAUGUCAUACGUCCUUUAUAGAACACUGUUACUAAUCAUAGUAUAUGCUCUGUAGAUCAAAUGCUUUCCAGAAAAAGAAGAAGAAGUUUCACAUGUAGAGGAGAAUGUCACAUUUCAUGGCUCUGAUGGAUUUUUUUAUUCAUUUCCACUUCCAGGUAUAUUGUUCUUUCUUCAGAUUGGUUGUGUUUUAUUAGUUCUGGUAGCAUGCAAGGGAGGCCAAAGAGGAAAUCGUUUUGUUGAACUCAACUUAUUGAGGUGGGUAGUUUUACUAAUGUGUUAUCCCUUGUCUUUUUUUGUUCUUAUUAUUAUGUUCUUCUUUGAUUCAUUUGAAGUCCUGUUUUGUGUUGAGUGAUAUAGAGUAUGAUUUCUUCAUUCACUUAGAAAAUGACCAACUGCAUGCCACUGUUAAUAGAGAAAGAAUGAUGGUGAUUGGUAAUUUGCAUUGAUUUGUUUUUUUUUUUUGUUUUUUGUAUUUGUUUGGACAUUAUUAUAUUCUAUGCAUGCACACUGUCUUUUUGGAUCUCACUGAGAUAAUUUCUUUUGAUUCCUUAUUGUACAGGACAAGCUGAUGUUGUAGUCUACUUGGAACUUAACCUGUAGUUUUUGUAUGCCUUAUGUUUUUUUUCCUUAUAUAUAUAUGUAUUUAAAUUAUAGUGCAGAUCCUUAUUAUAAAAACUGUGUUGUAUACACUUUCAUUUUUUAUACUGGCUUUCAU
rnacentral:lncRNA from 1 species